GUUGCUGGAGGCUCUGGGCCGUGGCCCCCCGCGCCGAGGUGGUUUUAUGCCAUCCUGGUUCUAGACAACGGUCGCCGGAGCAAACUACGGCCCAGAUGGAAACGCACGACCCCCGCAAGGCACAAUUGCAUUUUGUUUUUCACACCGUAGCCGACUGUGCGCGGGCCACGCGGCCGGUGAGCACUGGGCACUGCUCAAUAGCGCUACAAGAGCCAUUUAAAAAGCAACGUCAAACACGAUUUCUUCCGGUGGAGUUUUGGAAAGGAAUGUAGGGGUGUUUUCUUGCUGGUCCAUGCCAAUCACAGGCGCCCGCCGCACUCGCUGGGGUGGGGGGCAACGGUUCGCCUGUGAACACUCGGACAGGGAUUUCUUAAGCCAAUAAAAAGGAGGCUUGGGAGGAAUUCCAGCCGGGAGUUUCCAAAAACAAUUCGAAAUUUGGGUCCCCCC